GCCAGGAACAAUUUAGAUGUAGUUUUUCUUGCUUCGAGAAGAGAGUUCUUAAUUAUGCGUCAUAUUUUCUGGUGAAUGGCCACUAGAGAGGAGAUAAAGCAUCCAUUACAGUUUUUGGAACUAAGGAUAAUUAUUCAAUGAAACCAAGCUUGGAAAUCUUCAUCAGGAGUAUAUUUUUCACUGUCUACCAUGAAUCAAAACUCUUCUGUCCAUGGAGAGAAUGUGUGACAAAGUGAUUGCUUCAAAAUGGUAAUAAAAGA
rnacentral:lncRNA from 1 species